rnacentral:rRNA from 1 species
GACGAACGCUGGCGGCGUGCCUAAUACAUGCAAGUCGAACGCAGUGGGGACGGGUGAGUAACACGUGGGUAACCUCCCAUCAGAGGGGAUAACACUUGGAAACAGGUGCUAACCCGCUACUGAUGGAUGGACCCGCGGUGCAUUAGCUAGUUGGUGGGGUAAAGGCUCACCAAGGCCACGAUGCAUAGCGGGUCUGAGAGGGUGAUCGGCCACACUGGAACUGAGACACGGCCCAGACUCCUACGGGAGGCAGCAGUAGGGAAUAUUCGGCAAUGGACGAAAGUCUGACGUAGCAACGCCGCGUGAGUGAAGAAGGUUUUCGGAUCGUAAAGCUCUGUUGUUAGAGAAGCGGUAUCUAACGAGGAAGCCACGGCUAACUACGUGCCAGCAGCCGCGGUAAUUC